GACAGAGGAUGCAAGCGUUAUCCGGAAUGAUUGGGCGUAAAGCGUCUGUAGGUGGCUUUUUAAGUCCGCCGUCAAAUCCCAGGGCUCAACCCUGGACAGGCGGUGGAAACUACCAAGCUGGAGUAUGGUAGGGGCAGAGGGAAUUUCCGGUGGAGCGGUGAAAUGCGCAGAUAUCAGGAGGAACACCGAUGGCGAAGGCAGGUCUCUGGGCCACUACUGACGCUGAGAAGCGAAAGCAUGGGGAGCGAACAGG
rnacentral:rRNA from 1 species